rnacentral:rRNA from 1 species
GAAAUGCGUAGAUAUCUAGAGGAACGCCAGUGGAGAAGUCGGCGCGCUGGGCUUGUCCUGACGCUGAGGUGCGAAAGCUUGGGUAGCGAACAGGAUUAGAUACCCUGGUAGUCCACGCCGUAAACGAUGUCUACUAGGUCGCGGAGGUUCUGACGCUUUCGCGGCCGGAGUUAAAGCAUUAAGUAGACCGCCUGGGGAGUACGGUCGCAAGGCUAAAACUCAAAGGAAUUGACGGGGGCUCACACAAGCGGUGGAGCAUGUGGCUUAAUUCGAAGCAACGCGAAGAACCUUAUCCUGGGUUUGACAUGCAUGGAUGCCUGCUAUGAAAGUAGUUAGGUUGCCUUCGGGUGAAACAUGCACAGGUGCUGCAUGGCUGUCGUCAGCUCGUGUCGUGAGAUGUUGGGUUAAGUCCCUUAACGAGCGAAACCCUUGUCGCUAGUUACCAGCGGGUCAUGCCGGGGACUCUAGCGAGACUGCCGGUGUCAAACCGGAGGAAGGUGGGGAUGACGUCAAGUCCUCAUGGCCUUUAUGCCCAGGGCUGCACACGUGCUACAAUGGCGAGUACAAACCGACGCAAUACCGUGAGGUGGAGCAAAUCGGAAAAAACUCGCCCCAGUUCGGAUUGCAGGCUGCAACUCGCCUGCAUGAAGUUGGAAUCACUAGUAAUCGCAGAUCAGCCAUGCUGCGGUGAAUAAGUUCCUGAGCCUUGUACACACCGCCCGUCAAGUCACGGAAGCUGGGAGUACCUGAAGUCGGGUAGUCAACCU